rnacentral:tRNA from 1 species
ACCUUCGUGGUGUAGUGGUCAGCACACUGAGCCGGUAUUUCAGAGGUCCGCGGUUCGAUUCCCGGCGAAGGCG